rnacentral:lncRNA from 1 species
UGUCGUUAGAAAGGAUGCAAAGACAAGAGGACCAAGUAGACCUGACCCGGCUUUGAAAGCUAAGAGAGCUCCCUGGGGAAGUAGAGCAGCUGCCACCAAAACCAAAUCCGAGCUGGUAAAUUUCUCUUAACUAACAGCAUUUCAUUUUUCCUGAUUAGUUUCAUUCAUGGUUCUAAAAAAUCGGUUCAGGCAGCAAAUCAGUCUGAAAUGAUUUUCUUAAAAAUCUGAUUUAUACGAUUUCAAAUCGGUUUAAACCAGGUUAAACUGUUUUAAAUCGGCUUAAAUUGAUCUAAAUUAGUCUGAAUAUGUUAAAUUAAACAAUAAUGUUAGUACAAAUCUACAAUUUUGUCUAAUAUUUUUGUUAAUUCAUCAAAAUAGUUUUAUAAUUUAAAAUCAAAAACUAAAAUAUUAUAUAUAAAUGUAAAAUGUAUCUAAAAUAAAUCAGUAAUUCAUUAAUAGUAGCUAGUUUCUAUAAAAACACCUAAUUUACCACCUAACGAUUUCUUGAACAUGUCUCACUUGGAUUUGGUAUUUUGAUAGGAGGAAGAGAGAAAGAAGAGAAUGGAAGAACUUUUGAUUCAAAGGCAAAAGAGAAUCGCUGAGAAGAGUUCUGGUAGUAGUGUAUCAAGUCCCUUGGCCACCAAGAAAACUCCUACUGGAAACAAAACCGUGAAGACCUUGAUAAAGAAUGAGAAGACACCUGAAGCCGUGAAGGCUAAGCCGGUACUGAGAAGUUCCACCAUUGAGCGCCUUGCUGUUGCCAGGACAGCACCAAAGGAGCCACAACAGAAACCAGUAACCAAAAAAGCAUCAAAACCUGUAGUAAACAAGACAGAGAAACCUCAAGACAAGAAACCUAGUAAAAAAAGUCCGGGACUUUCUCGUGACCCAAGUCUCGAAAUCAAGGAAACAGUUGAAGAAUCACAGUCUUACUUGCCGGUGAAGCAAGCUGAUGAACUUCUUCCUCCUGGUGCUUCUUCUGUUGAUGACUUCAAAGACAUUAAAGAGAUGCAUAGCUUGCCGAAUGAAACCAUCACUAAUCAUCAGAAAGUACAAGAACAGACGAAAGUCGAUGAUGAGGAAAUAGUGAAGAAGACAUCCGUCUGUGAAGACAAGCAAGUCACUAACAACCUUUGUUCGGAGGAUGUUGAAGAAGUUAAGGCUUCACCACCUAAACCACUGUCUCCAAAGAAGUCGGUGACGUUUUCAGAGACAAACAUGGAGGAGAAGUAUUUUUUCUCACCAACGGUGUCGGAGACUGAC